rnacentral:rRNA from 1 species
AGUAAGUUUUAUGAUUAAGCUACUAAGGGCGUACGGUGGAUGCCUUGGCGCCAGAAGGCGAUGAAGGACGUGGCAAGCUGCGAUAAGCCCCGGGAAGCCGCAAGCAGGCUUUGAUCCGAGGAUGUCCGAAUGGGGAAACCCGGCGGGAUGAACUCCCGUUACAGCCCGCUGAAUACAUAGGCGGGUAUGAGCCAACCCAGGGAAGUGAACCAUCUCAGUACCUGGUGGAAAAUAAAUCACAGAGAUUCCGAAAGUAGCGGCGAGCGAAAUCGGAACAGCCCAAACCCAAUUGUUUACAAUUGGGGGUUGUAGGACCGCGUGAGUAGAGUUACCAAUCCGACGGCUAGGUGAGCCCGCUGGAAAGCGGGGCCAUAGAAGGUGAAAGCCCUGUAACCGAAAGCUGAUCGGACUCGAAGCGGAAUCCUGAGUACCACCGGACACGUGUAAUCCGGUGGGAAGCUGGGGAGACCACUCUCCAAGGCUAAAUACUCUCUGGCGACCGAUAGUGAACCAGUACCGCGAGGGAAAGGCGAAAAGCACCCCUGCGAGGGGAGUGAAAUAGAACCUGAAACCGUAUGCUUACAAGCAGUCGGAGGGCUAUGUAGGGACUUCGGUCCGUACACGCCUGACGGCGUGCCUCUUGCUUAAUGAGCCGGCUAGUUAUUCUUACGUGCAAGGUUAAGCGCAAGCGAGCCGUAGCGAAAGCGAGUCCGAACAGGGCGACAAGUACGUAGGAAUAGACGCGAAGCGGGAUGAUCUACCCUUGGCCAGGUUGAAGGCCGCUUAACCGCGGCUGGAGGACCGAACCGGUGUGAGUUGAAAAUCGCUCGGAUGAGCUGAGGGUAGGGGUGAAAGGCUAAUCAAAUUCCGUGAUAGCUCGUUCUCCCCGAAAUGUCUUUAGGGACAGCCUUGUGUGAAUUGCCGCGGUGGUAGAGCACUGAAUGGACUAGGGACCAACUCAGGUUACCGAAUCCAAUCAAACUUCGAAUGCCGCGGACAACUGCACGGGAGUGAGACUACGAGGGAUAAGCUUCGUGGUCAAAAGGGAAACAGCCCAGAUCGCCAGCUAAGGUCCCUAACUGUGUGCUAAGUGGGAAAGGAAGUGUAUUCGCUCGGACAGCCAGGAGGUUGGCUUAGAAGCAGCCAUCCUUUAAAGAAAGCGUAACAGCUCACUGGUCAAGCGGAUAUGCACCAACAAUCCAACGGGGCUCAAGCACACGACCGAAGCUGCGAAAUGACAUUUCUUCGGAAAUGUUUUUGGUAGGGGAGCAUUGUGUGUGGUCUUAAGGCAGACCGAGAGGACUGCUGAACUCCACACAAGAGACCCUGCCGGCAUAAGUAGCGAUAAACACGAUGAGAACUCGUGUCGCCGAAAGUCUAAGGUUUCCUGAGGAAGGUUAAUCCGCUCAGGGUUAGGCGGGUCCUAAGGUGAGGCCGAAAGGCGUAGCUGAUGGACAACAGGUCAAUAUUCCUGUCCCGCCUGGCGACGUUAUCACGAUGGGGUGACGCAGAAGGAUAGGAGAUCCACCUGAUGGAUGGUGGUUGGCGAGUGUAAGCCGGAUCCCGGAGGAAAAUCCCCGGGGUCAUUCAACGGUCAGACUCGACACGUGGCCGUAUGGCCGGGAAGUCUCUGAUUCUACGCUGCCGGGAAAAACCUCUAAGGAGUCCGCCAGGUGCCCGUACCACAAACCGACACAGGUAGACAAGGUGAAUAUCCACAGGCGCUCGAGAGAACGCUCGCUCAGGAACUAGGCACAUUAGCCCCGUAACCUCGGGAGAAGGGGCACCGCACUAGGGUUUAUCGCCCGAAGCGGUCGCAGUGAAAUGCGCUCUGCAACUGUUUAACAAAAACACAGCUCUCUGCUAAGUCGAAUACGACGUAUAGGGGGUGACACCUGCCCGGUGCCGGAAGGUUAAAGCAAGGGCUCAGCCGCAAGGCGAAGGCCUGAACUGAAGCCCCGGUGAACGGCGGCCGUAACUAUAACGGUGAUCCUGCUACCAAGGAUGGCCGUUGCAAAAUCUGGCUAUAUGCUGGAACAGUUGGAGUAUGUCGUGGUACCGAGAAGGUGACAAUCCAUGACUGCAACCAAUCAGCAGGAAAGCCUGUCCAUCACUGAGCAACAAAAGUGGUUCCUCGCCGGGUUUAUCGAAGGCGAGGGUUCCGUCUGCGUCUCCAUCAAGGAACAUCCCACGGCGCGGUUUGGGUAUUACGUGGACCCCGAGUUUUUUCUGUAUCAGCAUCGGGCCUACCCGCAAAUGCUGGAACUGACCAAGAGGAUGUUCGGGAGCGGUCGCAUUUUUCCAAAACAGGGAAAUCCGACAGUUUUGGUUUAUGCGAUUGCAAGCCGGAGAACGCUGGCGGAAAGAGUGGUUCCGUACCUUCGUGACUACAUGAAUUUCGCGCCUCGCAAACCCGUGUAUCAAGGAUUUUGCGAGAUCGUGGAAGCCAUGGAGCGCAAGGAACACCAAACACCACAGGGAAUGGUGCGCAUCGUUCAGAAAGCAUACGCGCUAAACCCGGUUGCGAAAGGCAAGGCCCGAAAGCGAUCCUUGCAAGAAGUGAUUGGCAGAAUCCUCAGAGACUACACGCCGGACUCCGGGAAGUUGCUGGAGAAGAUAUAGUCCGUACUGCAUGGCGACAUGCAGAUUAACAAUUAGCCUAAGGUAGCGAAAUUCCUUGUCGGGUAAGUUCCGACCUGCACGAAUGGUGGAAUGAUAGAGCGACUGUCUUGGCGAACGGCUCGGCGAAUUUGUGGUUCCGGUGAAGACGCCGGAUGCCCGCAUCUAGACGGAAAGACCCCGUGCACCUUUACUGCACUCUG